ensembl:lncRNA
GGGUAUAGUUGCGGUAGGUGAAAACGCAGAAAUGCAAACGGAGAGUUCUCCUAGAGCUCAUGUAGCGGUUAUGGUGGGGUGAACGAACCCUGCUUUGCUUUUGGCUCCAAGCUUGCUUUCGGAGGCAUUUCUGGGGGUGAUGCAGUCACCAACCCUGGGGGUGUUCAAGAAACUUUUAGCUUUUGUACCUAGGGCCGUGGAGUCAUGGGACAUAUUGGUGAUAGGUGGAUGGUUGGAGCCCUUGGAGGUCAUUUCCAGCCUUGCCGAUUCCCUGAGUCCUGUUUCUUAGCUCCGGAAUCCCACUUUAUCCUUCCCAAGGUUCAACAGGGAUUUGUCGACGGGCUCUAACGCCUCUCAUGCACGAAUAAGACAUUUGGGAAUUGGGAUGGAUUUUAUUGACGUGAUUGGUGACAGGGUGACAGUGGUGACAGACUCCCUCAUGCUUGUGCAGACCCAAUGGUGUCCCGAUGAAGGGCCGCAGUGUGUUCUGGGGUCAGAAAAGAGCGGGCGUAGGUGGACGGAUGCCAAGGGCAGGUGCCAGCUCUGCAGGCAGGACCCAGCGGAGGAUGUCCUUCUGCAGCACAACUAGGGUGAAGAAAACAAGCUGCAGCAGGCCCAAGAACAGCAGAAACCUCCUGUGGAAGAGAAGAAGGUCCAGUCAGAUCCGG